rnacentral:rRNA from 1 species
UCCCUAUGGGGUGCAGCAGGCGCGAAAACUUUACAAUGCGGGAAACCGUGAUAAGGGAACUCUGAGUGCCCGUAAAAUCGGGCUGUCCAUCAGUUUAAAUAACUGGUGAAGAAAGGGCCGGGCAAGACCGGUGCCAGCCGCCGCGGUAAUACCGGCGGCUCGAGUGGUGGCCACUAUUACUGGGCUUAAAGCGUUCGUAGCUGGUUUGUUAAGUCUCUGGGGAAAUCUUCCGGCUUAACCGGAAGGCGUCUCAGGGAUACUGGCAGACUAGGGACCGGGAGAGGUGAGGGGUACUCCAGGGGUAGGAGUGAAAUCCUGUAAUCCUUGGGGGACCACCUGUGGCGAAGGCGCCUCACCAGAACGGCUCCGACAGUGAGGGACGAAAGCUGGGGGAGCAAACCGGAUUAGAUACCCGGGUAGUCCCAGCUGUAAACGAUGCGCGUUAGGUGUAUCGGUGACCACGAGUCACCGAGGUGCCGAAGAGAAAUCGUGAAACGUGCCGCCUGGGAAGUACGGUCGCAAGGCUGAAACUUAAAGGAAUUGGCGGGGGAGCACCACAACAGGUGGAGCCUGCGGUUUAAUCGGACUCAACGCCGGGAAACUCACCAGAUAAGACAGCUGAAUGAUAGUCGGGCUGAAGACUCUACUUGACUAGCUGAGAGGAGGUGCAUGGCCA